GAAUUGGUGGUCUAGUGGUUAAGACUCGGCGCUUUCGCCUCUGUUGUCCGGGUUCGAUUUCCAGUUAAGGAAUCCAGUUUU